GGGCGUUUAGCUCAGCGGUAGAGCACACCCUCUACACGGGUGAGGUCGCACGUUCGAUCCGUGCGGCGCCCACCA
rnacentral:tRNA from 1 species